rnacentral:tRNA from 1 species
GCCGGAGUGGCGGAAUGGCAGACGCGCUGGAUUCAAAAUCCAGUGAGGUAACACUCGUGUGGGUUCGAGUCCCACCUUCGGUA